AUGGCCAACAUCCUCCUGUGGGACUUUGCCCUGGGUCUCAAAGUGGAGGAACAAAUCAAGCGCAGGUUUGAAUCUUCGGUUCAUUAUGAUCAUGAUCCAAAAACUAAGGAAUUUUUCUUGGUGGUUUCCUUCUCCUCUACUUCCUUCCCUCUCUCAGUGGAAUCUGUGGGUUUAGUGUUACAAUGUUGCAUUGGAGGCCGGGCUCUAGGGUUUAACGUGAUCCAGUUGGGGCCUCGCAACUUUCGUUUUUCUGUGGCUUCAAAUAAGGUUGGUCACUUCAUAUAUGCUUUGAAAUAUCGCAUCUGGCUUAAUUAUAUAUGUCAUUUCUGUUUAUAA
rnacentral:rRNA from 1 species